rnacentral:snRNA from 1 species
UUAAUUACUAAUUAUGUAUUCUU